rnacentral:SRP_RNA from 2 species
UGCUAGGCUUCGUGCGAUUAUUUAUUAUCAAACCCCGCCAGGUUCGGAAGAAAGCAACGGUAGAUAAUGAGUAAGGCGAUACGAACAGCUUAAUGCCA